UGUAGUUUUUAUUCAGUCCACCUUCGUUUAGUAACCAUGGGGACGCAUUUUACAAAGGACUACAUAUCCCAGCUGGCACUGCGACGUUUACGGAAGUGAGCCGUUUAGUUCGACCGUUACAGGAGUUGUGCACUGCCACUUAUAGCAACAUAUCGAUUUGUAUUGCGAACCUGGAAACGAAAGAAAGCUUCUGAAAGUUUUGUUAAAAUGGAAACUUCACUGGAAUCCGACGAAGAUGAAGAGAUGGGUACAUAUCAGAAGAAAUUAAGAGAGCGAGCCAACCGCAGCAUACAGCAGCUGAGCAACAUGCUGGUGAACCAGAGCUGUGACAAUGAAGCCCUGGAUCAAUCGAGCAGUCAGCACAGUUCAUCAGAGAGCUCGAGACAGCAAACACAGCAGAGCGAAGCGGUCAGUCAGCUCCGUUCAUUGCUUCAGAAACAAGCUAAAGAACUCGGCUCUCCUUCUCCUUCCAAAAGGAAGCCUGUUCCAAAGAAACAGGAAGAUGGUGAUAGUUUACCUGAAGUCCAGGAUCUGGUUCCCAUCAUUCACAACCAGUCCGAGUACAUCCAACACCUUGAGGCUGAAGUCAAGUUCUGCAAGGAAGAACUACUUGCGAUGAAGCAACGAGUCAGGGUAGUGAUUGUAGAGAAUGAAAAACUGCAGGAGGAGCUCAAGGCAAAGAUGCUAGAAGACACUCUGAAGGAAUACACUCUGCUGGAUGGCACGGUACAUGCUGAAAACUCAUUAGAUAAAAUUAGCUCGACACCGGCAGCAAAACCAAGACGGGACUUCAUUCAAAAAACAGAUGACAAGAAGUGGGAAAAAGAGCUGGAGCAGUUAAAAUGUUUGUACCAAGCACAGUCUGAGACACUCGAAGCUCAGGUUGUUUCACUGAAGAAGGAAUUGAUGAGUGCUCAGACAGAAUGCGAAGACCUGAAAGAGCGUCUGAGGCACAAGGAAGCGAUGACCGGUGUACCGGGGGCUGGUCAGCGUGUCGGAGGUUUGUGUCUGAAAUGCGCUCAGCAUGAAGCAGUACUGGCAGAAACGCACUCCAACAUUCACAUCCAGGCCAUCGAGCGUCUCACCAAAGAGCGAGACGAGCUGAUGACUGCGCUGUGCUCUCUGAGGGCCAGUCAGAGCGAGGCGCAGCAAAGGGAGUGGGCUGCCUAUCAUCAGGUCAAACAAGCUGUAGAGAUGGCAGAGGAGGCGAACUUGGAGAAGACAAAGGCACAAGUACAGUGUGAGCAUGUUCUCGCUGAACUGGCCAGACAGAGGGAAAGACUGGAGAAGGAACUUGCUUUGGAGCAGGAGAAGAUUGCACAGGCGAGGGAUGCAGCUCGCUCCGAGAGCAAGAGAGAGAAAGAGGAGCUUGCCCAGAUGGUGACCUCCUUGACAUGCAGAGUGGCCGAGCAAGAGGGACUUUUGGAUCGAGGAGACCGAGAGAGGAACUCCCUCAACACUCAGCUAGAGGAGGCCUUUAAGAAGCUCACCGCUCAGGAGACUGACAACAGCCGGACAUGUGGGGAGCUGCGCUACCAGUUAAGUCAGGCCCAGCUUAAGAGAGAAGAGGCUGAGAGGGAAUUACGGGACUCUCGCUCUAACCUGGGCCGGCAGCUCGAGUUAACACAACAGGAAGUGCAGAAGCUGGUUGCAGAGCUGAGUGGCAGCCAGCAGCGUUUGGAGGAGGCCCAGAGGGCAGAGGGCCGAGCUCGGACGGAGGCAGCCGGCCUGGCAGAGGGGCUGAACCGCGCCCAGCGCCAACUGCACCUCACCAGGAAGGAGAAGGAAGCACUGGAGCGGCAUUGUGUGGAGGACAUGGCAGCUCUGACCUUCCAGGCUCAACAGCGCGAGCAUGAGCUGACACAGACGCUCCAGCAAAUGGAAGCGCAGCACGAGAAGAAUGUUGCAGACAUGGAUGUCUUGCUGAGCUUGCAGAAUGGCCUCAUAGGGAAGCUGAAGGAAGAGUGUCGCACGCUUUGCUCAAGAAUGGAAGAGCUGGCCCAGUCUAACAGGGCCGAGGUAGAACAGCUUUCUUUAGAGAAGGAGCACCUGCAGGAGAGUGUGGAGAAGCUUCGAGGUCGCUGUCAUGAGAUGGAGGAACAGUGUGUACAGCAUGGGAGAAUGCACCAGCGCAUGAAACAUAGAUUGCAGCAGCUGGACCAGCACUGUCAGUCCAGCGCUCAGCAGGUGAUGGAGCUGCUCAGCAGACAGAACCAGCUCGUACACGAGAGGCAGUUUGUCACUGAAGAGAUGCACAGGCUGCAUGUACAGUUCCCAGCAGAGAGGAGCGAAACAGCGUGAGGCCGGCUAGUUCCUUCUCUCUCGACGAAGUUAAUCCUCUCACACCGACAGAGCACCAGCGCCGCGGCUUUACUCCCAAAUCAUGAGGGAUUUUCUACAAUGAGGGAGCAGGUCACCGGAUCUGUGCUGGAGCUCUUUUGCAGCCUAAGAAUCAGAGCCUGUGUGACGUUAUGUACCGGACCUCUGUGUUUAAGCACAGCUCCUUGCGCUUCUUCUACUCAUCCCCCAGUUGAGCGCCGACGGUAACAGUUUGAGGCGGUGUCACUGGUCAGGUCUGACUUUUCCCACAAAGAGGGAGGGCGAGCCGGAAAAGUCGGCCUGUCUGAAUGUCACCGAAGCAGAAACUCCUGGCAGUGUCUCACCACAUUCACAGCGUAAUGCUUUACAAAGCAAAAGUACAUUUCUCUUUUUAAAAAAUAAAAAAAAAAACAAGACAAGGAGUGUGUGAAGGGAAUGUGUGCUUUCAAGUCCUUUUUUUUUUCUUCCUAAAGCAGGGACCUUUUAUUUUGUUAUUAGCUGAACUAUAGAAAAAGAGAAAUGGACAUGAAAGUGCUGUUAGACAUAAUUUAAAGCCAUGUUUUGUGACUAUGGAUUUUUAAAAAGUGUAUUGUGUUUUCGGCCUGCAGUGCCAAAGGCCUUGUUUCAGUAGAGCGAUCAGCUACUGACACACAAUCACACACCCCUCGGACAAGAAAAAAAAAACACUGACGUCAGACAACAAAACAAAACAAACAAAACGUGGAACAAUUUUCGAGUUGAAAAAAUGAACCGAAAGUAGGCGUGAACAAGCAGGAGUAUAACCCCGUUCACCUCGCACUAGGUAGCGUCAUGAGGGAAAAGAAAGGAAAAGAAAGCAGAAGGUUGGAAGACAGAAGCUCUUGUGGUUUGCAGUAGCUCAGGAACAACUUUCACCACCACCAACAAAGGCAACCAGUUCAUGCUCAGUAGCAGUGCAGUCACUGCAAUUAUUACCAGAUUAUCUCCUCUGUCCUUUUCUCUCAACAGCAAAGAAACGUGACAUCAAUAUAGCAGUCACACACACACACACACACGUUUACUGUAAACCUGCAUCGACAUGUCUUAAUCUUCUAAUACAGAGGAGUGGCGGUCAAAUCCGACACAGCAAUGUCCUCUUCCUCAUAACAUGUUUUAUCCUUUACACCAUCAUCAUCAUCCUCAAUGUCCUUCGCAUCGUACCAGAUCAUAAACAGUGAACCCACACCGACCUCUCGUUCACUUCAAACUCUUUACACUUAACCACUGCUGGGCUUCUUAAUGCCAGUAAUCACUUUAUCCUUAUCAGCAUCGCGGUCAAUCUGGAGCCGGAGCACCGGGUGUGAUGCUGGAAGAAACUCCAGACACACACAUUCACACCUAAGGGCAAUAUAGAGCAGUCAGUCCGCCUCCUGUCAUGUUUAAAGAAAGCUGUGAACUAUAAGGAACACGACAAAAACACUAAACCCAGUAAUGUGGAGCUGUGACACGGCAAGGUGACCUGCUGUACAUCAUGUGCAUAUAUAUAUACACACACACACACACACACACACACACACACACACCGAUCCGUCUGAACCAUCAGUUUCACAACAUGCAAGUUAAGUUCAAAGACUCACCGAAAAACGUACCACCAUCUUCUCUUGAAAUAAAACGGAGACACAGACAGGAAACACUUAAACUGACAAGGAUCAUGGAAUGUAGUAUAGAUUUUAAACACAAAACACUCAGAAAGACAUAAAACACUUAGAUUUUUGGUCUGACCAACUCAGAGAGUUACAGCUCUCCGACGUCCAUCACGUCUUCACACCUGACAUCACUCGUGUGUACUGACAUCUGAAUUUCUCACACGUCACACCAAACUGUACAUUAGGCUCAUAGCUGCUGCUGCUGCUGAUCAUAGAUCACAUGACCGCCUUCUGCACAACUCUUUAUGGGCUGCUUUACCAAUCUCCGGCUGAUUCCCAAUCUCACCUCACCUGCUUAAUUAACAGCAACCGACAGGAGACGAGAGCUAGAACAAAAAGAGAGCACUGGCCACGUGGGGGAACUUAAGCAAGCUCUGUGUUCUGACUAUCACUAGUUUCAGGCUGCUCAGUGCUUAAGCUGCGUUCUUUAUCUUCUGCAGUGGUAUUUGUGGUCACCAGGUUGUGCAGCAAUACAGACACAACACAGAAAGUCUCUGUGCAAACAAACAAGCAAUGCUGAAGAAGUGAAGAGGCUCCUGAAAAUGUCGUCUUCACCGUAACUUGUUCAAAAUAACAAAAUAAAAAAAAACUUAAAUAGAAAAACAAAAUGUUUGCUUUGCCUGAUUUACAUUCUGAAGCCAUUUUAGGUGCGUUUGUGUCCAAUUCCUGACAGCACUCGUUAGAAGUAACACAAAUCAGGAAAAAAAAAUAAAUAGGAUCAUUUUAUUUAACUACAUUCUCUAACCUAACACACAAAUACAGAUACAAACACUCGGUACUCCGUCAGGUGAUGUGAGCUUCACCGAUUACAGCCAACUGCACUGAGCUCGCAGUGGGUUUGUACUUUAUAUCAGUGGAAGAGAACGUUUGUUGUUUAUAUCAGUCGUGUUAGGAGUUCCUGACGGCGUCGCUUAGAGCUGCUGUAGUGAAUGCAAUUCCUUCAUUCCCUCCACUCUUACUCCUCUGUCAUUUCACCAUCAGGAGGAAAAGGGAAUGACAGAAAAGGGAACGAGCUGCGAGCUAAUCUUCGGAAAGUGGUCAACACCGUACAGGCUGGAUCAGACUGUCGUCGAGACUCGAGGCUUUUCUGAGCCGAACAGAUAAAGUAUCAGGAGGUACAGUGCUGUAUGGCUCAGAUUUACAGAACUGUUCAGCUCAAAACAUCAAGAACAGAAAGAAUGCGCGCGCGCACACACACACACACACUCUUCCCCUGUUCCGUCUUCCCCUUUCUUAUCCCCAUCAACCCGUUUGCUGAGUAGGUAAAAGAAAGCAAAGUACUGCAGUUCCACAGUGAGAGAGAAAUGCUAGCUGAGCAUUUGAACACAGCAGAUGCUGACAUACGUUACUGGAGGUUGUGUGUCGCAGUGCUGAUUUUGUACGCUAGCGUGAGUGCCAGUGGUGCGAGUGGCCUAGGAUCAGUGAGCGACUAUUAGUGAAGCUUGUUUACUGAACUCAACACUUGUGCAGCCUGAGUAUACUGUUAUGGCAGUUUUGGACACA